rnacentral:rRNA from 1 species
GGCGAGUAAGAGGGAAAAGCCCAAAUUUGUAAUCUGGCUCUUUCAGANUCCGAGUUGUAAUUUUAAGAACUGUUUUCCGUGCUGGACCAUUUCUAAGUCUGUUGAAAAAUAGCAUCAUUGAGGGUGAUAAUCCCGUUCAUGAUAUGGACUGCCAGUGCAAUGUGAUACAGUUUCUAAGAGUCGAGUUGUUUGGGAAUGCAGCUCAAAGUGGGUGGUAAAUUCCAUCUAAGGCUAAAUAUAGGUGAGAGACCGAUAGCAUACAAGUACCGUGAGNGAAAGAUGAAAAGAACUUUGGAAAGAGAGUUAACAGUACGUGAAAUUGUUGUAAGGGAAACAAUUAAAGUUAGCCUUGUGCUUGUUAGUUCAGCUCUUUACUAGGGUGUAUUCUAACAAUGUCACGGACCAACAUCAGUUUUUGGGUGCUGGAUAAGGGCUCCGGAAAUGUAGCAGUNUCGGCUGUGUUAUAGUCCGGGGUUUGGAUACAGUCCUGGRACUGAGGAGAUCUGCAGCAAGC